AUACGUAGGGGGCGAGCGUUGUCCGGAAUGAUUGGGCGUAAAGGGCGCGUAGGCGGCCCGGUAAGUCUGGAGUGAAAGUCCUGUUUUUAAGAUGGGAAUUGCUUUGGAUACUGUCGGGCUUGAGUGCAGGAGAGGUUAUCGGAAUUCCCGGUGUAGCGGUGAAAUGCGUAGAGAUCGGGAGGAACACCAGUGGCGAAGGCGGGUAACUGGACUGCAACUGACGCUGAGGCGCGAAAGUGUGGGGAGCAAACAGGAUUAGAUACCCUGGUAGUCCACACUGUAAACGAUGAAUGCUAGGUGUAAGAGGUAUCGACCCCUUUUGUGCCGGAGUUAACACAAUAAGCAUUCCGCCUGGGGAGUACGGCCGCAAGGUUGAAACUCAAAUGAAUUGGCGGGG
rnacentral:rRNA from 1 species